UGGGGAAUAUUGCACAAUGGGGGAAACCCUGAUGCAGCAACGCCGCGUGCGGGAUGACGGCCUUCGGGUUGUAAACCGCUUUCAGCCAUGACGAAGCUUUUGUGACGGUAGUGGCAGAAGAAGCACCGGCUAACUACGUGCCAGCAGCCGCGGUGAUACGUAGGGUGCGAGAGUUGUCCGGAAUUAUUGGGCGUAAAGAGCUUGUAGGCGGUUUGUCGCGUCGAAAGUGUAAACUCAGUGCUUAACGCUGAGCCUGCUUUCGAUACGGGCUGACUAGAGGAAGGUAGGGGAGAAUGGAAUUCCCGGUGGAGCGGUGGAAUGCGCAGAUAUCGGGAGGAACACCAGUGGCGAAGGCGGUUCUCUGGACCUUUCCUGACGCUGAGAAGCGAAAGCGUGGGUAGCAAACAGG
rnacentral:rRNA from 1 species